rnacentral:lncRNA from 1 species
AUAUAGAAGAAUCUGAUCUUCUUUACUGGAUCUCUUGGUGUAGGUUUAUCCUCUCUAAUCAGUUUCACUUUAUGCAUGAACAUUUACUGUGAUUUAUGUGCCUAACAAUGAUUAGGGUGAAUAGGUUUGUUUGAAUACAUAUGACAGAUGGCAUCUUUGUGGUCACCCAUGGAUGAGCCUUCCCAUUUCUAGAGGCAGUGGAGAAACUUUUUACCAGACUCUAGUUAAGCUCUAACACAGCUCAAGAAUAUGGUGGUGCAUAAUAUCAAAGACCAGGUUGGACUGUCUGAAAAAAGCUCUUUCUGCUCUCCUGGCCACUUGCUUUGACUAAUAGAAUUUGACUUUGGAGGUGUCAUACCCUGAAUGUUUGUGUUCCCUCAGCAUUAAUAUCUUGAAACCUUAUCCCUAAGGUGAUGGUAUUUGGAGGCGGGACCUUCGGAGAUGAAGGCUUUUCCCUCUUGAAUGCAAUCAGUGAUCUUAUAAAAUAGACCCCAGAGAUCUUUCUUGCUCCUCUGCCACAUGAGAAUACAAUGAGAAGAUGACCAUCUAUGAACCAGGAAGCUGCUUCUCACCAGUUUAAUCUAUGGUAUUCUCAUUACAGCAGCCUGAACAGACUAAGACAGAAGAGUGAAGGCCACCUUUGGUUGUAUGGUCCCAGAUGACAUUUGUAAGAGAUAACAUGAUUCAGAUGAAGUUUUAUUCAAGAUUGGACCAGACAGGCUUUUUAUACUUCGUUAUUUUCACUUAUUUCUGAUACUAAUUUAAAGCCUGUUGGGUGUGAUUGCUGUUACUCUUUCAGUUAAAACAUUCUCCGUGUGCACAUAUGCACAUGCAGAACUCAUAUGCUAGUUGUUUCCAUUCCAGCCAAAAGCACAGAUAUGAUUGAAAACACCUGAUCUCUACUUUUAAUCGUUCUUCGCCCCUCAACCUCUUUAGGGCCCUGGAGGACAGAGCUAUCAUUGAGAGUGAUUGCAAGAAGAGCAGAUUUAGGAUGGUGACUGGGAAAGAUGAAUUGAAAACAUAAAAUAGAACAACAGGAGU